GACGUAGGGCGCGAGCGUUGUCCGGAAUCAUUGGGCGUAAAGCGCGUGUAGGCGGUCCGGUAAGUCCGCUGUGAAAGUCGAGGGCUCAACCCUCGAAUGCCGGUGGAUACUGUCGGGCUUGAGUACGGGAGAGGCGAGUGGAAUUCCUGGUGUAGCGGUGAAAUGCGCAGAUAUCAGGAGGAACACCGAUUGCGAAGGCAGCUCGCUGGAACGUUACUGACGCUGAGACGCGAAAGCGUGGGGAGCAGACAGG
rnacentral:rRNA from 1 species